AAUAAGAGAGCUACCUCUUGCUUUCAUUGAGAAGACAAAACAGACGUCUGACUGCAUUAUUUUCUACAGGGAUGGUGUUAGCGAAGGCCAACUCAAUGAUGUUGUUUUGACAGAAAUUGAUGCUAUUUGAAAGGUUAUUUUCUCAUUAUGUAGUUCUCUGUGACGAAAAUAAGUUUAGUGCACAGAUUCACCAAUACUUAUGUUACACGUAGGUGUUUUCUAUCUGCUAUUGAGUUAUUUUUUCGUCUAAACUUAUUGCAAUAUUUUAGUUUUUUGAAUAAAUAUGCUCGAUGCACGCGCUCGGUAUCA